UUUUUUACAAAUCGGAAUGAUCUGGAAUUUAGAGCCUGUGUUCAUCAAAAAUAAGCGAAUCUACAAAAAAUAUCAAAAAAAAUAUUUUACAUGAAAAAAAUUGACCAAAAUACCCCCAAAAAGUUUCAGGGGUAUUUUGGUUAAUUUUUUCUUGAAUUAUUUUUUUUAUAUUUUUAUUAGGUGCAUCUUACUAAGAUGUACACACACUCCAAAUUUCAGAUCAUUCCGGGUUGUAAAAGA
rnacentral:pre_miRNA from 1 species